rnacentral:ncRNA from 1 species
UUGUUGCGAGGGGGGCCGUGGCUGAGAUUAUACGGCCGCAAAACUUGAUCUGGAUAAUACCAGCGAAAGGAUCAUGCUCUUCCCCCCCC